AAGACUAUAGACCUGCGGAGUACCUGCGGAAGGAUCAUUAUUUGAUCUAAAUCGGAGGCAUUUGCAAAAAUGCAGCCUUUUUGUUUUGUGAACUGUCUUGUACUGUUGUAUUUUUUUUAAAGUUGUUAUUUUCUUCGGAAAAUAAAAAUUAAAGACAACUUUUAACAAUGGAUCUCU
rnacentral:misc_RNA from 1 species